rnacentral:rRNA from 1 species
AUUGAACGCUGGCGGCAUGCCUUACACAUGCAAGUCGAACGGCAGCACGGGAGCAAUCCUGGUGGCGAGUGGCGAACGGGUGAGUAAAGUAUCGGAACGUGCCCAGUCGUGGGGGAUAACGUAGCGAAAGUUACGCUAAUACCGCAUACGAUCUAUGGAUGAAAGCGGGGGAUCGCAAGACCUCGCGCGAUUGGAGCGGCCGAUAUCAGAUUAGGUAGGUGGUGGGGUAAAGGCUCACCAAGGCGACGAUCUGUAGCUGGGCUGAGAGGACGACCAGCCACCAUGGGACUAAGACACGGCCCAGACUCCUACGGGAGGCAGCCGUGGGGAAUUUUGGACAAUGGGCGCAAGCCUGAUCCAGCCAUGCCGCGUGCAGGAUGAAGGCCUUCGGGUUGUAAACUGCUUUUGUACGGAACGAAAAGGUUUGACUUAAUACGUUGGACUCAUGACGGUACCGUAAGAGUAAGCACCGGCUAACUACGUGCCAGCCGCCGCCGUAAUAC